AAUUGGUGAUUUUAGGAAGGGACAGACUUGUAGAAGAGAGGCAUGAGAAGGACACCACAGCUGGGGAUACCCCAAACCCUGCCAACUCUCGGUGAUUUUCAGGAUGAGUAGCUGAACACAGCUGAGUGCUCCAUGGAAAUAAGUGGAGACAGGAACAUAAGCUUCCUCUGCCUACAGAUUCAAUUAAUAACUGGGAAGAAAACAGUUUUAAUUUAUAACAAGGAGUGCUCCAAAACUUUUAAGUACAAAGUCCCAGAAGGUCUGAAUCAGCCACAUUAGCUGAAACUUCACAGAAUUAGAGAACCAAGGUAAAGCUGGAAGAGGCCACAGUGGAUCAUCUGGUCCAACCUCCCGCUCCAGCAGGGUCA